rnacentral:rRNA from 1 species
CACAUGCAGUCGAACGAUGAAGCCCUUCGGGGUGGAUUAGUGGCGAACGGGUGAGUAACACGUGGGCAAUCUGCCCUUCACUCUGGGACAAGCCCUGGAAACGGGGUCUAAUACCGGAUAAUACUUUCUCUCUCAUGGGGGAAGGUUAAAAGCUCCGGCGGUGAAGGAUGAGCCCGCGGCCUAUCAGCUAGUUGGUGGGGUAAUGGCCUACCAAGGCGACGACGGGUAGCCGGCCUGAGAGGGCGACCGGCCACACUGGGACUGAGACACGGCCCAGACUCCUACGGGAGGCAGCAGUGGGGAAUAUUGCACAAUGGGCGAAAGCCUGAUGCAGCGACGCCGCGUGAGGGAUGACGGCCUUCGGGUUGUAAACCUCUUUCAGCAGGGAAGAAGCGAAAGUGACGGUACCUGCAGAAGAAGCGCCGGCUAACUACGUGCCAGCAGCCGCGGUAAUACGUAGGGCGCAAGCGUUGUCCGGAAUUAUUGGGCGUAAAGAGCUCGUAGGCGGCUUGUUGCGUCGGUUGUGAAAGCCCGGGGCUUAACCCCGGGUCUGCAGUCGAUACGGGCAGGCUAGAGUGUGGUAGGGGAGAUCGGAAUUCCUGGUGUAGCGGUGAAAUGCGCAGAUAUCAGGAGGAACACCGGUGGCGAAGGCGGAUCUCUGGGCCAUUACUGACGCUGAGGAGCGAAAGCGUGGGGAGCGAACAGGAUUAGAUACCCUGGUAGUCCACGCCGUAAACGUUGGGAACUAGGUGUUGGCGACAUUCCACGUCGUCGGUGCCGCAGCUAACGCAUUAAGUUCCCCGCCUGGGGAGUACGGCCGCAAGGCUAAAACUCAAAUGAAAUU